rnacentral:rRNA from 1 species
UGGGGAAUCUUGCACAAUGGGGGAAACCCUGAUGCAGCGACGCCGCGUGAGUGAUGAAGCCCUUCGGGGUGUAAAGCUCUUUCGACGGGAACGAUAAUGACGGUACCCGGAGAAGAAGCUGCGGCUAACUACGUGCCAGCAGCCGCGGUAAUACGUAGGCAGCAAGCGUUGUUCGGAAUUACUGGGCGUAAAGCGAGUGUAGGUGGUUCGAUAAGUUUGGUGUGAAAUCUCCCGGCUCAACUGGGAGGGUGCGCCGAAGACUGUCGAGCUAGAGUGUGGGAGAGGUAGGCGGAAUUCCUGGUGUAGCGGUGAAAUGCGUAGAUAUCAGGAGGAACACCUGCGGUGUAGACGGCUUACUGGACCACGACUGACACUGAAACUCGAAAGUGUGGGGAGCAAACAG